rnacentral:rRNA from 1 species
AUUGAACGCUGGCGGCAGGCCUAACACAUGCAAGUCGAACGGUAACAGGAAGCAGCUUGCUGCUUCGCUGACGAGUGGCGGACGGGUGAGUAAUGUCUGGGAAACUGCCUGAUGGAGGGGGAUAACUACUGGAAACGGUAGCUAAUACCGCAUAACGUCGCAAGACCAAAGAGGGGGGACCUUCGGGCCGUCUUGCCAUCGGAUGUGCCCAGAUGGGAGUUAG